CUUGCUUCUCUUGAGAGCGGCGGACGGGUGAGUAAUGCCUAGGAAUCUGCCUGGUAGUGGGGGAUAACGUUCGGAAACGGACGCUAAUACCGCAUACGUCCUACGGGAGAAAGCAGGGGACCUUCGGGCCUUGCGCUAUCAGAUGAGCCUAGGUCGGAUUAGCUAGUUGGUGGGGUAAUGGCUCACCAAGGCGACGAUCCGUAACUGGUCUGAGAGGAUGAUCAGUCACACUGGAACUGAGACACGGUCCAGACUCCUACGGGAGGCAGCAGUGGGGAAUAUUGGACAAUGGGCGAAAGCCUGAUCCAGCCAUGCCGCGUGUGUGAAGAAGGUCUUCGGAUUGUAAAGCACUUUAAGUUGGGAGGAAGGGUUGUAGAUUAAUACUCUGCAAUUUUGACGUUACCGACAGAAUAAGCACCGGCUAACUCUGUGCCAGCAGCCGCGGUAAUACAGAGGGUGCAAGCGUUAAUCGGAAUUACUGGGCGUAAAGCGCGCGUAGGUGGUUUGUUAAGUUGGAUGUGAGAUCCCCGGGCUCAACCUGGGAACUGCAUUCAAAACUGACUGACUAGAGUAUGGUAGAGGGUGGUGGAAUUUCCUGUGUAGCGGUGAAAUGCGUAGAUAUA
rnacentral:rRNA from 1 species